CCCCUCUCAGGGUUGCAUCUGGAGAGUUUCCUGUACUCUACCAAUCUCGGCUACGGGAGGGAGAGACAAGCAGAGGCCCGUCCAUUCCAUUCCUAGUUUGGGCAGUGGCUAGCAGGUGGAAAGCAAUCUGCUACAAGU